rnacentral:lncRNA from 1 species
GACAGACUCUUAUUAUAGUGUAUCUUGAAGUUGUGACUUUUUGUUUCCAUUCACCAUGUAUAAUGGCUAUGUAACAUUUUUCAGUUAAAAUUUUCAAUUAAGUUAUGCAUUUCAUUCAUAUCAUUCUAUUAUUGAGCAAUAUAGUAAAUGUUUAGAUGGCAAAAAUUACUACAUGUGGAACUUCCAGGACCUUGCAGUAUAUUAUCAGGAUUUCUGACACCAGUCUUAUAUCGGCAUGCAACACUAAACAAACAGGCGUGGGUCUACGAGCAGUAUGUGGUUUGUACUAAGGAUGGGAGAAUGAACUUCUGCAUAGCACUUAUGACUCAGAGACUAUGGUAUAAUGACCAGACUCCA